AAAGACCCAGAAAAAAACCUGGGAGGGUCCACACCAACCUGGUGGUAGCUGCCUCUGGAAGGACAGUGGGUUUGGAGAGGUGAAGAGGAUUUUCACGUCUGCUGUAUGUCUGUGUUGCUUGAAUUGUCUCAAAAAAUAUUUUUAUAGUGAGCGGGUAAUACUUUUAUGUUUAGAAGGAAAAGAAAACACUCCCUUCUUUACCUCCCUCCCAAGCCCACACAUGGCUAGUGUGGAAAAUUGAACGUUCCAGCAGGUAAGUAGGAAUAAGAAACAAAAGUUUGGGGCUGGCCCCGUGGC